UCCAAGAUCCUGUGACUACCUGAGAAGCC
rnacentral:piRNA from 1 species